CCUACGGGCGGCUGCAGUGGGGAAUAUUGGACAAUGGGCGCAAGCCUGAUCCAGCCAUGCCGCGUGAGUGAUGAAGGUCUUCGGAUUGUAAAACUCUUUCGCCGGGGAAGAUAAUGACGGUACCCGGAGAAGAAGCUCCGGCUAACUUCGUGCCAGCAGCCGCGGUAAUACGAAGGGAGCUAGCGUUGUUCGGAAUUACUGGGCGUAAAGCGCACGUAGGCGGAUUUUUAAGUCAGGGGUGAAAUCCCAAGGCUCAACCUUGGAACUGCCUUUGAUACUGGAAGUCUCGAGAUCGGGAGAGGUGAGUGGAAUUCCUAGUGUAGAGGUGAAAUUCGUAGAUAUUAGGAAGAACACCAGUGGCGAAGGCGGCUCACUGGCCCGAUACUGACGCUGAGGUGCGAAAGCGUGGGGAGCAAACAGGCUUAGAUACCCGAGUAGUC
rnacentral:rRNA from 1 species